GGAAGAAGAGGAUAUGGCAAGGAAAGCCGCGGAGUUGGCGAGAAAGGAGGAAGAACUGAGGAAGGAGCAAGCUGCAGCAGAGUUGAAAGAACAACACCGGAUGGAACAGAAGGCCAAAGCCAAGGAAGCUGAGGAAAGGAAGAGAAAAAAGGCAGAGAAGGACAAGAUUAAAGCUGAAUACAAAGCCAAGAAGGAAGCAGAACUUAGAGAGAAGAGGAAAGCAAAGAAGGAGAAGAAACCUGUGCUAACAGAUACAAAUAAUGGAGACGGUGGAGACAAUGCUUCAGUUGUUGAUGUUGCUCCAGCGGAAUCAGUAACAUCAAGGGAAACUGAAACUGUAGUUGGAGCUGCUCCAAGGCGGUCAUCAAGG
rnacentral:misc_RNA from 1 species